rnacentral:rRNA from 1 species
AUUGAACGCUGGCGGAAUGCUUUACACAUGCAAGUCGAACGGCAGCACGGACUUCGGUCUGGUGGCGAGUAGCGAACGGGUGAGUAAUGUAUCGGAACGUGCCCAGUCGUGGGGGAUAACGUAGUGAAAAUUACGCUAAUACCGCAUACGAUCUAUGGAUGAAAGCGGGGGAUCGCAAGACCUCGCGCGAUUGGAGCGGCCGAUAUCAGAUUAGGUAGUUGGUGGGGUAAAGGCCCACCAAGCCAACGAUCUGUAGCUGGUCUGAGAGGACGACCAGCCACACUGGAACUGAGACACGGUCCAGACUCCUACGGGAGGCAGCAGUGGGGAAUUUUGGACAAUGGGCGAAAGCCUGAUCCAGCCAUUCCGCGUGCAGGAUGAAGGCCCUCGGGUUGUUAACUGCUUUUGUACAGAACGAAAAGGUUUCUACUAAUACUAGGAGCUCAUGACGGUACUGUAAGAAUAAGCACCGGCUAACUACGUGCCAGCCGCCGCGGUAA